CAGAGGGAUGAGAAAAGCCAGGCCACUGUAGCCUUUAAAGCUGAGGCAGCAGCAGAGAGCAGGCAGAAGACGGGCAGAUGGAGAGCAGUGCUGAGCACCAGGCUGGCCCCCGGCGAGAACCUGGGCCACCACCGCAGAUUUACAGGAACUGGUCGGAAGAGCAAAGCAGCCGGAUGGCCAGAAAUCUCUGGAGAAAAGAUAAGGGAGCUGAUGAGGGCCAAGACAGUGUAAACAAGACCACAGGCAGCAGGUGUGUUGAAGCUGGUGGCUACUGCAGGUCGUGCCCAGUCAGCAGCCCAGGCAAGCUGUUGGAUCAGAGAGGACCGUCAGCUGGACUCGGGGCCCAAAGACCUCCUACAAUUUGCCUUGAUGGAGAGUGAGGAGAUGGCAUCGGAGGGGCUGGAAAGACGAAGUAAAAACGGCACAAACAGGAGGGCAGCAGUGAUGGAAGCUGGGACCCAUGGAAGGGAAGAAAGGAAAAGAGAUUCCACUGAGUGAAGAAAACAUUAACCUCAUUUGGUGGAUAAAGAAACUGAGUCUUGUAGCUGUGAAGCGACACUGUUAAGUAAGGUGACCAAGCUGAUACGUGGAGCGGAGCCAACACCACUGCUCGAACCGGCUCAUCUGACACUGAUAGGCUCAGCCAACUGCCUCUCCGCAGGGAAGACAGACUCUGAUGGUGACAGAAAAGCACAGGAAACGCCUUGAUGGGGACCUGUGGGGGGAACCAGCCUAAUAUAGGGAUCAGGAAAGUCUCCCUGGGACUUAGCAAUGCUGCAAAGGAUGAAGAUUUCUCACUGGCAGAAUGCCAGAGCUGGAAGCCAGCGAUUUCCAAAGACAGUAUGAGGAAUGUUUUCGGGACCUGGCAUGUGAGAAUUUUAAAAAACCUUAAUAAUUAUGUAUUCACUGUAAGUUAUU